AUUGAACGCUGGCGGAAUGCUUUACACAUGCAAGUCGAACGGCAGCACGGACUUCGGUCUGGUGGCGAGUGGCGAACGGGUGAGUAAUGUAUCGGAACGUGCCCAGUCGUGGGGAUAACGUAGUGAAAAUUACGCUAAUACCGCAUACGAUCUAUGGAUGAAAGCGGGGGAUCGCAAGACCUCGCGCGAUUGGAGCGGCCGAUAUCAGAUUAGGUAGUUGGUGGGGUAAAGGCCCACCAAGCCAACGAUCUGUAGCUGGUCUGAGAGGACGACCAGCCACACUGGAACUGAGACACGGUCCAGACUCCGACGGGAGGCAGCAGUGGGGAAUUUUGGACAAUGGGCGAAAGCCUGAUCCAGCCAUUCCGCGUGCAGGAUGAAGGCCCUCGGGUUGUAAACUGCUUUUGUACAGAACGAAAAGGUUUCUACUAAUACUAGGAGCUCAUAACGGUACUGUAAGAAUAAGCACCGGCUAACUACGUGCCAGCAGCCGCGGUAA
rnacentral:rRNA from 1 species